rfam:Cephalotus follicularis DNA, scaffold: scaffold3706, isolate: St1.
AAACCAUGAUGAGGACAAUCUCAGAGAAGAUCCUUAAAACGUUCCAUACACCUAGAAAAUGAUUCAUUAGGUUUUUGACGAAAAUGGAGAAUGUCGUUCCUAAGUUU